rnacentral:tRNA from 1 species
GGAGAGAUGCCAGAGUGGUUGAAUGGGACGGUCUCGAAAACCGUUUUACCUGUAAGGGUAACGAGGGUUCGAAUCCCUCUCUCUCCG